rnacentral:rRNA from 1 species
GGCGUGCUAUACAUGCAAGUCGAACGCACAGCGAAAGGUGCUUGCACCUUUCAAGUGAGUGGCGAACGGGUGAGUAACACGUGGAUAACCUACCUCAAGGUUGGGGAUAACAUUUGGAAACAGAUGCUAAUACCGAAUAAAACUUCGUAUCGCAUGAUACAAGGUUAAAAGGCGCUACGGCGUCACCUAGAGAUGGAUCCGCGGUGCAUUAGUUAGUUGGUGGGGUAAAGGCCUACCAAGACAAUGAUGCAUAGCCGAGUUGAGAGACUGAUCGGCCACAUUGGGACUGAGACACGGCCCAAACUCCUACGGGAGGCUGCAGUAGGGAAUCUUCCACAAUGGGCGAAAGCCUGAUGGAGCAACGCCGCGUGUGUGAUGAAGGCUUUCGGGUCGUAAAGCACUGUUGUAUGGGAAGAACAGCUAGAGUAGGGAAUGACUUUAGUUUGACGGCACCAUACCAGAAAGGGACGGCUAAAUACGUGCCAGCAGCCGCGGUAAUACGUAUGUCCCGAGCGUUAUCCGGAUUUAUUGGGCGUAAAGCGAGCGCAGACGGUUGAUUAAGUCUGAUGUGAAAGCCCGGAGCUCAACUCCGGAAAGGCAUUGGAAACUGGUCAACUUGAGUGCAGUACAGGUAAGUGGAACUCCAUGUGUAGCGGUGGAAUGCGUACAUAUAUGGAAGAACACCAGCGGCGAAUGCGGCUUACUGGACUGUAACUGACGUUGAGGCUCGAAAGUGUG